UACAGAGGGUGCAAGCGUUGUUCGGAAUUAUUGGGCGUAAAGCGCGUGUAGGCGGCUUUGCAAGUCGGGUGUGAAAUCCCUCGGCUUAACCGAGGAACUGCCUGUCAAACUGCAUGGCUUGAGACCGGGAGAGGUGAGUGGAAUUCCCAGUGUAGCGGUGAAAUGCGUAGAUAUUGGGAAGAACACCAGUGGCGAAGGCGGCUCUCUGGGACGGUACUGACGCUGAGACGCGAAAGCGUGGGGAGCAAACAGG
rnacentral:rRNA from 1 species